rnacentral:lncRNA from 1 species
GAUCAGCUUGAACUACUAAAUUAAUAUUAACUAUAACCUAUGGGUGGCAUAUAAAGCAAUCAAAACUAAUGAAUUGUGCUAGCUAGUUAACUUUAAUCCAAAUAUACACUCUAUCACACCAAUUGCACCGCAUUUCAAAGUUAAAUUUUAUUCAACAAUACACUUCAUAAAUUCGUAAACACAUUUUCUUACCAUAUUGUUUAUCUGUUGUGUUUUAAUCUUUCAUGUCUUGAGAGGUUUGAACUAAUUAGUAAAAAUUGGUUACUUUUACUUUUGUUUUAAUCUUUCAUGUCAUUCAAGAUUUGAACAAUAUGGUAAUACUGAUUAGUUUUUUUUAAUCUAAAAUGCUUACUAAAUAUGCUAGGAGGACAAUACAACACAUUUUCUACCACUAUAUAAAGGACACUAUUGUUUAAUUGAUGUAAGGAGAGUUUGAACUUUAAAAGAUAUAAAUUGAUAAAACUAUUUCUUAAAUACAAAGGAAGAAAAAUGGCUGGAAUUAUCAAGUUUAUUCUUACUAUAAUUAUCUUUAUUUCUCUAUUGAUGGUGCCAUCCAACGCUGCAAGUAAGUUAAUUUUUUAAGAUUUAAAAAAUUUCCUUGUUACUUUGUACACAAUGUUUUAUCAAAUAUUAGCUAAACUUUUAUUCUUAUUUUUUCAAUAUAGAAACUGUUAAAUGUAUACAAGAUACAGAUUGUUUACAAUAUCAUAGGUGUAUGCCACCAAUGCUAAUGAAGUGUGACAAUAAACAAUGUAGAUGUGUUCCAGUGACCUAUUUCAUUCGUUAUGUUCCCGUAUGAUUCUUCAUAUUAAGUUCUCAUAUGGUUCUGCAUUUAGUGUUGUACCUAAGAGAUUAUUGUAUUGCUAUAUUAUAAUUUGUUUUUUUAUUUUUCAUUUCAAGAAUUUUGUAGUUAAGUUUAAUUUUAUUUAAAUCGAGUUCUUCUCUUUUAAUUUCAAAAUAUAUUCAUAGAUUUCAUUCCAGGUAUGUAUCAUGGUCAUUUCAAUCCUACCAUCUAUUAGAAUAAUACGUGUAAUAGUUAAGUUGAAUAACUGUUAUAUUGCUUAUAAGUCUGCACGUUUUUUUACAUGUUCAUGUUAUAGUAUCAAUACACUUCCCACCUUCAAUUUUCAUUUCUCUUAUAUUUUAAAUCUUUUAUUGGUCUCAUAUGUACUAUUCAAUUUUAAAAGAUAUGAAAAUAUAGAUAUUCACUAUAAAAAUGUAAAAAUCUAUUGUUAUAAGUGCAUAUUUUAUAGAAGAUUUGUUUAUGUUUCUACUUACUAACUAAAUAUAAUGUGUGGUUAAUAUAUUUUCUAUUUCAAAAGAAAUCUCGUAUAACUAAAUUGAAUUAGAUUAUGUAAGGUUAUAAUUUAUUAUAAAAUUUACAUGUAAUUUAAAAUGAAUAUGUUUCAAAAGACGUUUUUUUAUAUCUUUAAUUUUCUAUGAUUUUGUUGGGUUUUUUUUGAGAGGGGUAUAUAAAUUUGCAUUAUUAUUAUUAUUAUUAUUUUUAUUUUCUAAUUUUUAUAUUUAAAUUGGGGUGUGAGUUUUCUGGUGAGUAUGGGUGGUUGAGAGUUUCGUUAAAUUUAAAUUUAUUAAAUGAUUUAGAUUAUAAAAAAAAGUGUGAGAUAGAUGAAAAUGUAAGGUUUGGGAGAUAAGAAUUUUUUUUAACUGCGUCACAUGUAUAUGUGUGUGAUCAUAUAUGUAUUAAUUGUUUUGAUAUUACAUAUAAUUGGAUAUAAAGGUAAGCUAAUGGAUUAUCAUAGUAUAUUGUUUGUCCAUAACAAUUUAAUUUUGAAGAGUCAUAGUACAUCUUAAAAAACAACAUAGUAAACAUUGUUGUUUGUAAAAAAAAUUAGUGACAGUUAAGAAGAAUUUUUAUAAGGUUCCACAUAAUUAAUGAACUAGAAUAUAAAUAUAAUACAACCUAAGAGUACAUUAAUGAGCUUUGAAUAUGUACUAAUAUACACACAAAAAAGAUAUAAAUUAUGACAUAUCAUCUACAAAAUGAUUUUAACCUUUUGAAAUUUAUAGACCAUGACCAAAACCACCGGCUCACCUCCAAAAGAAUAACACUAAGUUAGCAUCAUAUAUGGAUUAUAAUAUGUUUGACACGCCACACACAAGAGGGAGUGACUCUUGGAUUUAAGAAAAGCAUCUUAUGUUAUCAUUUUUAAAGUUUAAAAAUAUCUUGAUUAAAAUAUUUAUAAAUUAGCAACGGAAAGUAAAUAUGUGAAAAAUUAAGAGUUAAGGGUAAGAGAAAUGAAAACAAAUAUUUAAACAGGUUCAAUCAAGAAGACUUAUUCAUGUCCAUAAUAUUUGAUCUUAAGAGUAUUCAGUAAUACUUAGAGAGUUUUGAGUAGGUUAAAAUCUUGAACCCACUAAUACAAGAAAAAAUGAAGUUUCAAAUUAACUUUCAACCAAACAAUGAACGAUGGAGUGAAGUGGUUAGUCUUCCUUCCAAAGAACGAACUUGAAGUGAUUAGUCUCAAAGCUAAAUCGUGAUUUUCUAUGGACUUGUCUCGAACCAAUAUGAGUUUUUAAUCUAACUAAAUUGGGGUUUUGACCAGACUGACCAUGAACCAAGAUGAGAUUUUUAAUCAUGCUUAUCUUGAACCCAAGUGAGUUUUUAACCAUGUUUAAAUCAUGAACUGAGUUGAUAUUUUGAAUAUGGUUGAUACCAAGCCAAAGUAAGCUUUUAACGUGGGUUGAGCUUAAAAGCCGAACUGACGACUUAGAAACUAAAUCUCCAAACCAAAGCUUUUAAAGGGUUUAACUUUUAAAGAGUGAUGAAUGAGAUACAAGGAUUACUUUUAUGGAUAUGAAAAUGUGAAAGAAAAUGCCUCUAUUUAUAGGCUAAAGCUUUGAUCAAAAAAGGAAAUAUCCAUGAGCCUAAAUUAAUGAGCCAAUCGAUUGACUUCUUGUCCCAACUAAUUGAGAGGCAAAAAUAAACGAUCAUAAAUGCUUAAAAUGGAAAUAAUAGAUACAUAGUUGUUUCCCUUUAUUAAGACAUUGUAACAAUUGAUAAGAACAUCUCUUGCACUAACCUAAUCGAUUGUGUAUACGUGUCAAUCUAUUGGACAAUUCAAAAACAUAUCCAAAACUAUUCUGACAUUUCCUUAUUCAACUAGAACGUCUCUAUAAAAAAUUUAGGAAUGUUUUCUUAAGAAAUAGAGGUUUAAAAAAUUAUGUGUGUGUAUGUAUGUGUGUGUGUGUGAGUGUAAUAUGCUCUUAAAUAUAUUUUGAAUGAUGUCAAUACUAGGUAGUUUAGAUCUUUGUGUAUUUGGACCUUACAAUCUUUGUGAAAAUGUGCAUCAUCAUCAUAGAAUAUGUAAGAUUAGAUUACAUAAGUCAUCAUAUGCCAAAAUAUAAGUUUUUCACAAAACAAUCAUGCAUGGGUCGAUAUAACCUCAGUAUGGGUCGAUACAUACUGAGUGGAAUUUCAAAGAAUUUGGAUCUGCCUUGAAUGGGUUGAUAUAAGGGAGAAAUCGGUUGAUAUAUUAUGCUUAAUGGGUUGACUCAUUCUUGCUUGGGUCGACUCAAUCUGAAAGAUGUUUUCAGAAUUUUCCACUGCCUCUAAUGGGUCAAUACAAAGUUGAAAUGGUUCAAUAUAUUAGGCGAAUGGGUCGACUCUCCUGUGUUUGGAGUGGACUCAUUCUGAAACAUUUAUUUCCCAAAUUAGCUACUGCCUCUAACGUAUCGACUCUAUUUGGUAUCGUAUUGACUCACUCAACUUAUGUAUUGACUCAUUCAAGUUUAGAGUCAAUACAUUAUGAACUAUCAAAAACACAUACCUUCACGGUUGGCAAAGAUGUAUAAUCACUAAGGACCACCUGUUGUUAAGUAGUGUGUGGUUUGUUAAUGGCCAAAUUGUGUAAAUAAUCCAUAGUAUUUUGUGGCUCUUUUCACUUAAUCUAAAUGGAAUAUCUUGUUAGAACCUUAGUUUUAAGUGUAAAUAUGUAGGUUUUAACAUUAUCAUGUAAAUAUCUUUUGUUUGAUCAUUUUGAUGCAAAUUUGUAGGCUUCAAAGCCUAUUGGAAAAAUAAACAAUGUAGAUGUGUUCCAGUGACCUAUUUCAUUCGUUAUGUUCCCGUAUGAUUCUUCAUAUUAAGUUCUCAUAUGGUUCUGCAUUUAGUGUUGUACCUAAGAGAUUAUUGUAUUGCUAUAUCAUAAUUUGUUUUUUUAUUUUUCAUUUCAAGAAUUUUGUAGUUAAGUUUAAUUUUAUUUAAAUCGAGUUCUUCUCUUUUAAUUUCAAAAUAUAUUCAUAGAUUUCAUUCCAGGUAUGUAUCAUGGUCAUUUCAAUCCUACCAUCUAUUAGAAUAACACGUGUAAUAGUUAAGUUGAAUAAUUGUUAUAUUGCUUAUAAGUCUGCACGUUUUUUUACAUGUUCAUGUUAUAGUAUCAAUACACUUCCCACCUUCAAUUUUCAUUUCUCUUAUAUUUUAAUUCUUUUAUUGGUCUCAUAUGUACUAUUCAAUUUUAAAAGAUAUGAAAAUAUAGAUAUUCACUAUAAAAAUGUAAAAAUCUAUUGUUAUAAGUGCAUAUUUAAUAGAAGAUUUGUUUAUGUUUCUA